CCUACGGGAGGCAGCAGUGGGGAAUAUUGGACAAUGGGCGAAAGCCUGAUCCAGCCAUGCCGCGUGUGUGAAGAAGGCCUUGGGUUGUAAAGCACUUUCAGUGGGGAAGAAAGCCUUGGGGCUAAUACCCUCGAGGAAGGACAUCACCCACAGAAGAAGCACCGGCUAACUCCGUGCCAGCAGCCGCGGUAAUACGGAGGGUGCGAGCGUUAAUCGGAAUUACUGGGCGUAAAGCGCGCGUAGGCGGUCUGAUAAGCCGGUUGUGAAAACCCCGGGCUCAACCUGGGAACGGCAUCCGGAACUGUCAGGCUAGAGUGCAGGAGAGGAAGGUAGAAUUCCCGGUGUAGCGGUGAAAUGCGUAGAGAUCGGGAGGAAUACCAGUGGUGAAGGCGGCCUUCUGGACUGACACUGACGCUGAGGUGCGAAAGCGUGGGUAGCAAACAGGAUUAGAUACCCUUGUGUC
rnacentral:rRNA from 1 species